UACAGAGGGUGCAAGCGUUGUUCGGAAUUAUUGGGCGUAAAGCGCGUGUAGGCGGCUUUGCAAGUCGGGUGUGAAAGCCCUCAGCUCAACUGAGGAAGUGCGCCCGAAACUGCCGAGCUUGAGUACCGGAGAGGAUGGUGGAAUUCCCCAAGUAGAGGUGAAAUUCGUAGAUAUGGGGAGGAACACCGGUGGCGAAGGCGACCAUCUGGACGGAUACUGACGCUGAGACGCGAAAGCGUGGGUAGCAAACAGG
rnacentral:rRNA from 1 species